GACGAACGCUGGCGGCGUGCCUAAUACAUGCAAGUCGAGCGGACCGAACAGGAGCUUGCUCUUGUUCGGUUAGCGGCGGACGGGUGAGUAACACGUGGGUAACCUGCCCGUAAGACCGGGAUAACUCCGGGAAACCGGAGCUAAUACCGGAUAACACCGAAGACCGCAUGGUCUUUGGUUGAAAGGCGGCUUCGGCUGCCACUUACGGAUGGGCCCGCGGCGCAUUAGCUAGUUGGUGAGGUAACGGCUCACCAAGGCGACGAUGCGUAGCCGGCCUGAGAGGGUGACCGGCCACACUGGGACUGAGACACGGCCCAGACUCCUACGGGAGGCAGCAGUAGGGAAUCUUCCGCAAUGGACGAAAGUCUGACGGAGCGACGCCGCGUGAGCGAAGAAGGUCUUCGGAUCGUAAAGCUCUGUUGUUAGGGAAGAAGAAGCGUCGUUCGAACAGGGCGGCGCGGUGACGGUACCUAACGAGAAAGCCCCGACUAACUACGUG
rnacentral:rRNA from 1 species